rnacentral:rRNA from 1 species
GGACGAACGCUGGCGGCGUGCCUAAUACAUGCAAGUCGAGCGAAUCGAUGGGAGGCUUGCUCCCUGAGAUUAGCGGCGGACGGGUGAGUAACACGUGGGCAACCUGCCUAUAAGACUGGGAUAACUUCGGGAAACCGGAGCUAAUACCGGAUACGUUCUUUUCUCGCAUGAGAGAAGAUGGAAAGACGGUUUACGCUGUCANUUAUAGAUGGGCCCGCGGCGCAUUAGCUAGUUGGUGAGGUAAUGGCUCACCAAGGCGACGAUGCGUAGCCGACCUGAGAGGGUGAUCGGCCACACUGGGANUGAGACACGGCCCAGACUCCUACGGGAGGCAGCAGUAGGGAAUCUUCCGCAAUGGACGAAAGUCUGACGGAGCAACGCCGCGUGAACGAAGAAGGCCUUCGGGUCGUAAAGUUCUGUUGUUAGGGAAGAACAAGUACCAGAGUAACUGCUGGUACCUGACGGUACCUAACC